AAUGAACGCUGGCGGCGUGCCUAACACAUGCAAGUCGUGCGCGAAAGGGGCUUCGGCCCCGAGUAGAGCGGCAGACGGGUGAGUAACACGUGGGUAACCUGCCCAGAAGUGGGGGAUAACCUGGGGAAACUCGGGCUAAUACCGCAUACGUUCGCGGGGUUCUGCUCCGCGAGGAAAGCCGGCCUAUGCUUGCAAGCUGGCGCUUUUGGAGGGGCCCGCGGCUGAUUAGCUAGUUGGUGGGGUAACGGCCUACCAAGGCUUAGAUGGGUAGCCGGCCUGAGAGGGUGAACGGCCACACUGGGACUGAGACACGGCCCAGACUCCUACGGGAGGCAGCAGUGAGGAAUUUUGCGCAAUGGGGGAAACCCUGACGCAGCGACGCCGCGUGGAGGAUGAAGGCCUUCGGGUCGUAAACUCCUGUCAGAGGUGAAGAAUACCGCAAGGUUGACGGUAACUCAGAGAGCCCGGCUAACUACGUG
rnacentral:rRNA from 1 species